rnacentral:tRNA from 1 species
GGGGUUGUAGCUCAGUGGCAGAGCGCUGGCCUUGCACACGGGAGGCAUGGGUUCAAUCCUCAGCACCA